GGACUGCAGUGCAGAGAGAGAGAGGGAGAGAGGGAGAGAGGGAGAGAGACAGGGGGACCCCGCGUGUUCCGCAAAGUGCCUCUCUCCUGCACCCAGCCAUGAGUGUAUGAAAUAAUUCCUCCUUUGUCCACCAGCUGGCUUUCAAAGCUGUCGGGAUGAGCCCUGCUGGACCUGUCUGGGAAGCUUGUUAAACUGCACCGAGUAAGUCAGGGAGAGGGAGGGGUGGGGAAAAGAUGAAAGAACGAACACAAUCUGUGUGAGGCAGUGGCCCUGACUCUAAAGAAACAGCCGAUCUAAGGGGAGGAAGAGCUUCCUCUAAAACCAGAGACUGCAUGCAAUGCAAAUGACCCCGUGUGCAGCUGCCUCUGGCAGACAGCCACCCGCCUCCCAAAGAAUAAAGUCAGAGCAACAAUUCCCUCCCGAAUCCUGAAGCUUAGUGACUUCAAACAAGAAAAGAGAAAAGUGACAUGUUUUUUUCUUUUCCCAGUGAACUCAUCUAUUCCCCAAAUUGUGCUGAUGACCUCAUCAUCUGCAGCUGUGCAGCUCGAAGCUCGCCCACCCUUCAACUCCCCGGGGAUCACAUCUGGCGGGGAGCCUUGGUACCUGGGGCGGACACAUCUGGAGGUGACUGUCUCUGGAAAUGGAGUGUUUUGUAACCUCCUUUCACUCUUAUCGAUGCAGCCAAGUGGCAGAGAAGGCUUUGGCAAUUUUCUCCCUUGGAAGACAGCCCUUUGGUCUUCAUUCAGUAAGGAUUUGCAGGGGAAAACAGUGAGGUUAAGCUUAGCGCUUCAGAUCCCUUUUCAUUUUUCAUGUAUACAUUCAUGAGUCAUUGCAGAAAUGAUAUUGGCGGGCGCCUAGGGGGCUCUUUCGGCUAAGUUUUGACUCUGGGUUUCAGCUCAGGUCAUGAUCUCACGGUUCAUGAGUUCAAGCCCUGCAUCUGGCUCCAUCCGCGACGAAAGUACAGAGCCCGCUUGGGAUUCUCUCUCUCCCUCUUUCUCUGCCCUUCCCCUGCUCAUGCUCUCUCUCUCUCCAAAUAAAUAAAUUAACUGGAAAAAAAAAAAGAAAUGAAAUUGGUCUUUUGAAUCAAUUCUGCCUGUGUUCCUUCUAUACUCUGGCAAGGCCCUGAUUGACAAAGACUAUUAAAGUAUAAACUGAUACGGAUAAUGACUCCAGUCAACAGAAUUAAAUUGACUUUGGAAGACUUCAUGGUAAAAAAGUCUUCAAAGACUAUGGAACAUUAUGCAGUCAUUAAAAAUGAUGGGGAACUAUUUAUGAUGCAAUGCCUUGGCCAUGUUAUGAUGGAAAAUACCAGAAUACAAAAGGAUUUCGGCUUUGUAGAAGAUGAGACAUGCAUGGACAAAAUAAUUAAAAGAGUUAUUUUUAGGAGGGGAGAAUAUUACUGAUAUGUUUCUUUUUUAUGCAUUUCUGUGCUUUUAAAUUUUAUCUCCUGAGUAUGCCUAACUUUUAUAAUUAGGAAAAAAAGUUAUUUUGAAAGGGAGAAAAAUCAAAUCCCUGGCAGAUGAGUGCUCUUGGAAAGAUGUAAUGAAUUAUUAGCCUGGGGAUUGUAAACUAAAAUGACGUAGGUACCAGGCAGGUAAUAUAAAUGAGUGAGCCAGGACUGAUAUAAGAAAAUGGCAAACUGCAGGGGAGCUUGUAUUCAAUCCUGCUGAUGUUUAUCAUGUGGAAAUAUAAGUGGCUCAGAGUUAAUGAAUCAGAUUUUUCUAGAGAAGUCCUAAAUCAAUAUUUUUAAGUGAAAUUGACCAAUUUUUAAACGAAGGCAACAAACUCACAUUAAGCAGAAAUCGGCUACACGUGUUGGGCCAACAAAGUAUUCAGCCUACUGGGCAUCCUUCUGAAACCUGCUCGUUAACCAAUGAAAGCGAACUCCUGGGAGCCAUCCACCAGCCUGGGGAGUUUCCAGGGAUUUCACUUCUUUUCAUUACU
rnacentral:lncRNA from 1 species